AUUGAACGCUGGCGGCAUGCUUUACACAUGCAAGUCGAACGGUAACAGGCCUUCGGGUGCUGACGUGUGGCGAACGGGUGAGUAUUGCAUCGGAACGUACCCCGAGGUGGGGGAUAACGCAGCGAAAGCUGUGCUAAUACCCCUUGUGAUCCGAGGAUGAAAGCGGGGGACCGAGCCGCACCGUUUGCCCUCGCGCCUUUGGAGCUGCCGAUGUCGGAUUAGCUAGUUGGUGGGGUAAAGGCCUACCAAGGCGACGAUCCGUAGCUGGUCUGAGAGGACGAUCAGCCACACUGGGACUGAGACACGGCCCAGACUCCUACGGGAGGCAGCAGUGGGGAAUUUUGGACAAUGGGCGAAAGCCUGAUCCAGCAAUGCCGCGUGAGGGAAGAAGGUCUUCGGGUAGUAAAACUCUUUAGGCAGGAAGGAAGCGGGGUAAGCUAAUACCGGGCUGUAUUGACGGUACCGUCAGAAUAAGCACCGGCUAACUACGUG
rnacentral:rRNA from 1 species